rnacentral:sRNA from 1 species
AAAAGCUUGGAUAUAUGGGGACUAUAGUGGCCAGACUUGAUUAGGCUUAUGUGUCUGGCUGAGUAGACAUCUCUUCCUUCUUUGCUGUUCGUUGUGUAUCCCUCCUGAAGCUUUACAAUAGGUCCAAAAAGGAUGGCCUUCCAAAAUAGAAAAGGACCCACCUUCAGUCAAAGGUAUGUCAGUAACUGGAUCCCUCUGCUGGAAUCCCUAAACAAGCACUCAAAGUUUUAAAACUCAAAGUGUUUUCUGUGAUGUCCUUUUGGAACCCACAGCACUACAAUUUAGGGGUUGCACAGA